GAUGAACGCUGGCGGCGUGCCUAAUACAUGCAAGUCGAGCGAACGGACGAGAAGCUUGCUUCUCUGAUGUUAGCGGCGGACGGGUGAGUAACACGUGGAUAACCUACCUAUAAGACUGGGAUAACUUCGGGAAACCGUAGCUAAUACCGGAUAAUAUUUUGAACCGCAUGGUUCAAAAGUGAAAGACGGUCUUGCUGUCACUUAUAGAUGGAUCCGCGCUGCAUUAGCUAGUUGGUAAGGUAACGGCUUACCAAGGCAACGAUGCAUAGCCGACCUGAGAGGGUGAUCGGCCACACUGGAACUGAGACACGGUCCAGACUCCUACGGGAGGCAGCAGUAGGGAAUCUUCCGCAAUGGGCGAAAGCCUGACGUAGCAACGCCGCGUGAGUGAUGAAGGUCUUCGGAUCGUAAAACUCUGUUAUUAGGGAAGAACAUAUGUGUAAGUAACUGUGCACAUCUUGACGGUACCUAAUCAGAAAGCCACGGCUAACUACGUG
rnacentral:rRNA from 1 species